UACGUAGGGUGCGAGCGUUACUCGGAAUUACUGGGCGUAAAGCGUGCGCAGGCGGCUUCGCAAGUCAGACGUGAAAUCCCCGGGCUUAACCUGGGAAUGGCGCUUGAAACUACGGAGCUGGAGUGUGGCAGAGGGAGGUAGAAUUCCACGUGUAGCGGUGAAAUGCGUAGAUAUGUGGAGGAAUACCGAUGGCGAAGGCAGCCUCCUGGGCCAACACUGACGCUCAUGCACGAAAGCGUGGGGAGCAAACAGG
rnacentral:rRNA from 1 species